GUCGACUUACAGAGCUGGUGAAAGGUAACGCAGGCUGAAGCAAUUUUUACAAAUGAUAUGCAGCAGUUCAUAAAUCGGAAUGACCUGAGGAGGAAAACAAAACAACAAACAACAAAAACAAACAAACAGGAAAUGAUCACUGGUGAACUUUGGAAAUGACACAGUAAUUGAAGGAAGACAGACAAGUAGUAGUGAAGAAAAAGGAUUACUGCCACUGCACUAUUCAAUCUGUCAAGGCAGAUUGCACCAGCAAAUAAAAUGUAUUUUAUUAUGGCUCAAGGGCAGUCUGUUGAAGUUCCCACUGACUGAAUGAGUGGAAACAUUACCUUGAUUUUUAAAAAUGAAAAAAAGGAAGACCCAGAAAACUACAGGCCAGUCUCACCUCUGUGCCUGGCAAGACCAUGGAGAAGAUCCACAUAAAUGCAGGCUGGGUGGAGAAUGAAUUGAGAGCAACCCUGAGAAGGACCUGGGGUGUUGGUUGAUGUGAAGCUCAACAUGGGCCAACAAUAUAUGCUUGCAGCACAGAAAGCCAACUGUAUCCUGGACUGCAUCAAAAGAAGCCUGGCCAGCUGGUUGAGGAAGGUGAUUCUCCCCCUCUUCUCUGCUGUUCUGAGACCCCACGUGGAGUACUGCAUUCAUCGCUGGGGCCCCUGGCACAAUAAGGACAAGGUCAUAUUAGAAAGAGUCCAGAAGAGAGCCACAAGGAUGGAGCACCUCUUAUAUGAAGACAAGUUCUGAGAGUUGGGGUUCAACCUGGAGAAGAGAAGGCUCCAUGGAGACAUUAUAGCAGCCUUCUGGCAACUGACUGGGGCCUAAAGGAAGCAGGAGAGGGACUCUUUGUUCGGGAGUAUAGUAUUAGGACAAGGAGUAAUGGCUUUAAACUAAAAGAGAAUAGAUUUAGAGUAGGUACUAGGAAGAAAUUCUUUCCUGUGAGGAUGGUGAGGCACUGUACCAGGUUGCUCAGAGGAGUUGUGGAUGCCCCAUCCCUGGAAGUGCUGAAGGCCAGCUUGGAUGGCUCUUUGAGAAACCUUGUCUCGUGGAAGGUGUCCCCCCUGCCCAUGGCAGGAGGGUUGGAAUUAGACUGAUCUUUAAGGUCCCUUCCAGCCAAACCAUUCUAUUAUUCUAUGAUUCUAUGAUUUUGUGUAUCUAGAAUGAGUCUCCUAGUCUUAGCUCAGCUGUAUACUUGUUGCAUAAAAUUGAAUGAGCCAUCUAAUAUCUUGCCUCUGAUUUACCACUUGUGGAAUGGUAUAAUUUUUUUCUCUUUAUGCUUCUAAGGUGAUAUUUUACAGUAUCUCUGUCUUUCUCUCUGCUCUCACUGCUCUCUUCAUAUUUUUCCAACUCUUGGAUGAUGGCAAUGCAAUGCUCUUGGCACUGUUUUCUCCCAGUAUAUUUUACACAUUACACUUUACAUUUUAAUCAUUGAGUAGAGAUCAUAAAUACCCCUGGGAAAAGGUAAUGGUUCACUGGACUCUGCUCACAUCUUUUUGACUUCUUGGCACCUUAAUUCUUGUUUCACAAAGGCUCAGUUUCACUACAUCUGAAAAGGGAAGUAUUUCCCUUUUUCAUUUUUUCUGUACUGCCACUAGGCUGUAUUCUGGAGCUGAGAGUUCUGGCAUUAGGGUUUGAAGGUUUAAUCUUGAGUCAAAAUGGGGCUAGAAUCCAAUUUAUGUGUAAACACUUGAAUCAAAAGGCUGUGUUGUAAAAGGCCUAUAGAUAAUCUCUUCCUUUUUAUAAAGACCUUGUUUUAGGUGUGAGCUCUACUUAGCUUUUUCAAAGGCUAACUGAUGACUAGGUUCUGUGCUUCUUAGCCUAGGUGGAAGUACCUUAUAACAGCCCUGACUUAGAAGUCUGUCUGGGGAAGGGACAAGAUUGCUAACACAUCACACAGAUUCAGCAUUUUUCUAUUGGAACAUCCCUAAAUUGAACAGGGAGUGGAAGUACUUCUCCCUGGGCUUUAGAUUCCACCCCAUGUAGCAGAUACAGGCUACUAGUAUUGGACAUAAGCCAAUACGAACAGGUAAAAAAGGUAUACAACAUCUGAGUAUUCACUCAGAGAGGAUGUAGCAUUUGUACAGAAAUCUGUGAAAGCUGUUCUCAGAAAGGGGUAGCAGGGGCAGGCCUUGCUUACUAUUGUUGAUAGCAUAGCCAUUAGCACAAUACAACUCCAUGGGACUUAGAUUUUUAGACUGGGGAAAAAAGAAAAAAGAAGUAGGAAAUACAUUUAUUUUCUGUGUUUAAUUUCUUAAUUGGACCUCUGAAAAGGAUUCUUAUUACUAAGUAUGUAAUCUAUUACAUUUCUGAAAAUGGCAUUUUUUAGAUGCCUUGAAAUGGGUGACUCCUUUCUUAAGACAGGAUAAUGGUGGACUACGUAUUUUACAUCUGAAAGAGAUUGUAGAAAAAGAUUCUACCAUGCUAGAAUUUUUAUGGCAUGUCUUGAUCUCUAAUUUACUCACACAUAGAAUGUACUUAGCCAAAUAUGUAAACAGCAAGCCAAGCAAAAAAAAAAUCUCUUUCCAGACUUAUUAUUUGGUACUGUUAUAAAUGAGGUCUCAACUCAAUCUGAAUUUUGUAAUAUUUAUAAAACAAAUAUUUCUAAAAGAUAUAAA